CCUCGUGAGGGAAGGUGUGCUCGUAUCCCUCUUAAGCACAUGCACACACCAGAGUUGCCCGAUGUGGGACUAUUAAGGGAGGUCCCCCCACAGCCUGCCCACAACAGAUGCCCCCCACUCUGGAGGGUGCAUGUGUUGGUGAGCAGGGGGCGGGUGCCCCCUACCUGACGCGCCACUGUUGUGCGCACGUGUCAAACAGGUCGUCGGAGACCGCACGCUCUGCCCCAUGAAGUAUUGCCCGCUUUGGCUGGGUCCGGACCGGGAGCGUGCCCAGUGGUCCCCACCAGGGGUUGUCCCCCCAGCAUUACGCAAACGGCCUCACGGUUUUGUCCCUUGCAUUGGGGUUCACCCCGCAAAAGGCGCCUCGUGAGGGAAGGUGUGCUCGUAUCCCUCUUAAGCACAUGCACACACCAGAGUUGCCCGAUGUGGGACUAUUAAGGGAGGUCCCCCCACAGCCUGCCC
rnacentral:lncRNA from 1 species